rnacentral:rRNA from 1 species
AUUGAACGCUGGCGGCAUGCUUUACACAUGCAAGUCGAACGGCAGCGCGGGCUUCGGCCUGGCGGCGAGUGGCGAACGGGUGAGUAAUGCAUCGGAACGUGCCCAGUAGUGGGGGAUAGCCCGGCGAAAGCCGGAUUAAUACCGCAUACGACCUGAGGGUGAAAGCGGGGGACCGAAAGGCCUCGCGCUAUUGGAGCGGCCGAUGUCGGAUUAGUUAGUUGGUGGGGUAAAGGCUUACCAAGGCGACGAUCCGUAGCUGGUCUGAGAGGACGACCAGCCACACUGGGACUGAGACACGGCCCAGACUCCUACGGGAGGCAGCAGUGGGGAAUUUUGGACAAUGGGGGCAACCCUGAUCCAGCCAUGCCGCGUGCGGGAAGAAGGCCUUCGGGUUGUAAACCGCUUUUGUUCGGGAAGAAAUCCUCUGGGCUAAUACCCCGGGGGGAUGACGGUACCGGAAGAAUAAGCACCGGCUAACUACGUG